rnacentral:lncRNA from 1 species
UUCUACAUUGUAUAAAGUCAAAUGAAAUAUAAUGAAAUAAUGAAAUAUAAUACUAAGAAACAACUCUAGGUAAAAAAAAAUACUACUAAGAAACAGUUACUUGUACCCUUAUUUACAAAAGAAACAGAAAAGUUACAAAACUAAAAAGAAAAAAAAGGGGUUGAAAAAAUUGAGGUUUGUAGUAUAUAUUUUUAUUUCGAAAUUUAAGUUGAUGACCAAAAGGUUAAAGAGUGUUUAUUUACUGAUAACAUAAUAAUUUAUGAAAACAAAAUUCAAGAUUAUAUGGGGAUAAGUAAACACAUCAACGUGACAGUUCAGAACCAGGAUUAAAUUGACGUCGACCUUUUUAGCUAGCAGGUGAGUAGGUGACUACUUUGUACCACUACCGUGGAUGAGAGAGUAUAUUAUCGUAGACGUCGAAUAGUGACAUAUAUAGUUUUUUUUUGGCUUAAAAUGACUUAUAUAUAGUUAAAUGCUACUGUUUUAU